rnacentral:rRNA from 1 species
UACGUAGGGUGCGAGCGUUAAUCGGAAUUACUGGGCGUAAAGCGUGCGCAGGCGGUUCGCUAAGACCGAUGUGAAAUCCCCGGGCUCAACCUGGGAACUGCAUUUGUGACUGCACGGCUGGAGUGCGGCAGAGGGGGAUGGAAUUCCGCGUGUAGCAGUGAAAUGCGUAGAUAUGCGGAGGAACACCGAUGGCGAAGGCAAUCCCCUGGGCCUGCACUGACGCUCAUGCACGAAAGCGUGGGGAGCAAACAGG